rnacentral:snRNA from 1 species
UGGCUUGUGGCAGCCAAGCG